rnacentral:rRNA from 1 species
UAGGGAAUCUUCCACAAUGGACGAAAGUCUGAUGGAGCAACGACGCGUGAGUGAAGAAGGGUUUCGGCUCGUAAAACUCUGUUGUUAAAGAAGAACAUAUCUGAGAGUAACUGUUCAGGUAUUGACGGUAUUUAACCAGAAAGCCACGGCUAACUACGUGCCAG